rnacentral:sRNA from 1 species
GAUUUCAAUGUUAGUUGGAUAUACUUUUUAGUA